rnacentral:rRNA from 3 species
AAGCGGAGGAAAAGAAACCAACAGGGAUUGCCCUAGUAACGGCGAGUGAAGCGGCAACAGCUCAAAUUUGAAAUCUGGCCUCGGCCCGAGUUGUAAUUUGCAGAGGAUGUUUCUGGCGCGGUGCCUUCCGAGUUCCCUGGAACGGGACGCCACAGAGGGUGAGAGCCCCGUAUGGUUGGACACUAAGCCUGUGUGAAACUCCUUCGACGAGUCGAGUAGUUUGGGAAUGCUGCUCAAAAUGGGAGGUAAAUCUCUUCUAAAGCUAAAUACCGGCCAGAGACCGAUAGCGCACAAGUAGAGUGAUCGAAAGAUGAAAAGCACCUUGAAAAGGGGGUUAAACAGUACGUGAAAUUGUUGAAAGGGAAGCGCUUGUGACCAGACUUGCGCCGGGCGGCUCAUCCGGGGUUCUCCCCGGUGCACUCCGCCCGGCUCAGGCCAGCAUCGGUUCUCGUUGGGGGAUAAGAACGGCAGGAACGUGGCCCUCCUUCGGGUGGGUGUUAUAGCCUGCCGUACGAUACCCUGACGGGGACCGAGGUUCGCGCUCCGCAAGGAUGCUGGCGUAAUGGUCAUCAGCGACCCGUCUUGAAACACGGACCAAGGAGUCGUCCAUUAGAGCGAGCGUUUGGGUGUCAAACCCGCACGCGUAAUGAAAGUGAAAUUAGGUGAGAGCUUCGGCGCAUCAUCGACCGAUCCUGAUGUUCUCGGAUGGAUUUGAGUAAGAGUUUUAACGGACGGACCCGAAAGACAGUGAACUAUGCUUGUAUAGGGUGAAGCCAGAGGAAACUCUGGUGGAGGCUCGCAGCGGUUCUGACGUGCAAAUCGAUCGUCAAAUAUGAGCAUGGGGGCGAAAGACUAAUCGAA